UACGGAGGGGGCUAGCGUUGUUCGGAAUUACUGGGCGUAAAGCGUGCGCAGGCGGUUUCUGAAGUCCGUUGUGAAGCCCGGCUUAACCUGGGAAUGGCAGUGGAAACUAGGAGACUUGAAUCUGGCAGAGGGGGGGUGGAAUGCCACGUGUAGCAGUGAAAUGCGUAGAGAUGUGGCGGAACACCGAUGGCGAAGGCAGCCCCUGGGUCGAAGAUUGACGCUCAGCACGAAAGCGUGGGGAGCAAACAGG
rnacentral:rRNA from 1 species